rnacentral:lncRNA from 1 species
UUUAAGUACAAGAGAGGUCUUGGGAUCCAUUAUUGCCCCUAUAUUACUAUUUGGAUUUAAAUUUCGUGUUAUCAUUUGUGAUUUGGAAACAAUUACUUAAAUACAAAGUAGGGUUGCUGAGCCUUGCUUGCACUCUGGAAGCAGCUAGCCUUGUAAUCUUUAGCAUGCAUGCCUUGUAGCAAGGAUCUUUACUUUUGGUAUUAUGCCCUGCAGCCACAUCUGAACUAUUAAAGAUGAUUAGCUAUUUUCUGUCUAGUACGACCUUACUUAAACAGGAUCUGUUCUAUAGGCUCGUACCUUUGUAUCCUUGAUUUCUAAGGAGACAGGUGACCAUGACUGCAGGACCAGAGCGUGAUUAACAGUUCUAUUGUCCUUAGGUCAUUUGUGCAGUAGAGGAUCGUUCUCAGUCAAGUCUAUUGGCUGGGGUGUUCCUGCAGUUGUCUGACAGAUUUUUAUUCCAGAAAAUGUUUUAUUAAUUGUUUAAUCAUGAAAAUCAAUUAAUAAAUAGUUAUUGUGAUUAUUAAAUUCUGAAAAUUUAACAGAUAUUAAUUAUUGGAAUAAAAUUAAUAUUUCCACUGAAGUUUUGGAAAAUCAAUUAUAUUUGGAUAAUUUUAGUUAAUCUCUA